UGGCUCAGAUGGUAAAGCAUCUGCCUGCAAUGCAGGAGACCUGGGUUCGAUCCCCUG
rnacentral:tRNA from 1 species